rnacentral:tRNA from 1 species
GAGGGUACAGCUCAGUGAUAGAGUGAGUACUUAGCAUGCAGGAGGUCCUGGGUUCAAUCCCCAGUACCUCCA